GACGAACCGUGCGAACGUUAUUCGGAAUCACUGGGCUUAAAGCGCGUGUAGGCGGGACGGCACGUCGGUCGCUGAAAUCCCCCGGCUCAACCGGGGAACGGGCGCCGAUACGACCGGCCUGGAGGGGCGUAGGGGGACCUGGAACUUCCGGUGGAGCGGUGAAAUGCGUUGAGAUCGGAAGGAACGCCCGUGGCGAAAGCGAGGUCCUGGACGUUUCUGACGCUGAGACGCGAAAGCCAGGGGAGCGAACGGG
rnacentral:rRNA from 1 species